rnacentral:rRNA from 1 species
UAAUAUAAAGUCUAACCUGCCCAAUGAUUAAUUUUGAAUGGCCGCGGUAUUUUGACCGUGCUAAGGUAGCAUAAUAAUUAGUUUUUUAAUUGAAAACUGGUAUGAAUGGUUGGACAAAGAAAUAGCUGUCUCAAAUUUAAUUUAAUUAGAAUUUUAUUUUUAAGUUAAAAAGCUUAAAUAUAUUUAAAAGACGAGAAGACCCUAUAGAGUUUUAUAUUUAUUAAUUAAAUUAAAUUUUAAGAAUUAUAUAUUUUAUUUAAUUUAUAGUAUUUUGUUGGGGUGACAAAAAAAUUUAAUUAACUUUUUUUAUAUUUUUACAUAAAUUUAUGAGUUAGUGAUCCAUUAUUAAUGAUUAAAAGAUUA